AUUUGUUCACGAUCGUUUCUUGUAUUUAGUUAGAAUCUCUUUUCUCGCGCGAUCUCAAACACAUCUCUUCGUAAAACAUUUCGCGACAGUAAAGAAAAUAUCAUAUUAACGAUGGAUACACACUGGAUCAUGAAACAUAUUAAAUUAAUAAACGUACGUGCAGAAUGCAAUUAUUGUUUUCAAGCAUUCCGAGUAAUUCAAAACAUGGAACUUUUAAAACAACACAUAAGAAACGCACAUCUCGAUUACUGGAAUCAAAAUAUUGAUGCAGUUGGUGGAGACUUGGAAUAUUUGGCGGCCAGUGCCUUCCACAUAGCACAAAAUGGACACGCAAAAUGUCACUUCUGUGAUACCCAAUAUCGUGUGCCAACACCUGCUUUGGCGGUUCUAAUAAAUCAUAUCAACUCAUGUAAAUCAAUAGAUCAUAUCGAAUCAUGUGAAUCAACAGAUCAUAUCGAAUCAAGUGAAUCAACAGAUCAUAUCGACUCAUCAUGUGACGAAGUAGAACAACAGAGCUCUAUCGACGAUUGAAUUAUGAUUAACAAGUCGUCAAGCUUCGGUUCAAUAAAGGAUGCAGAGAUUUCGGAAAAAAUACUGAGGACAAUGCAUUAUCAUGGACAUAAACAAUUAUUUACAACAUUUAUAAUUAACAUAUUCGUUUUAAUGACUUAAAUUCAGCGCAAUUGAUAAAAUAAAACAAAAUCUGAUAUCGUUGACAAAUUUAUCACUUUAACUUUCUAAUCACGUAGCGUAAAGUAUAUAGAUCAUUAAAUCUUUAUAAUUAUAUCAAUUUAGUUAGACACAAACUUAUGUUUUAUUAACAAUUUUUUAAAUUAUUUCUAAAUUGAGAGCAUCGAUAAAUAUUAUAUACAUAUAUCAAUGUUAUAUAACAUAUUCCACAAAAUAUCAGCUGCUUGUAAUAAGGACAAACACAUUUAAUAACAAGUGUAUGUUACAAAUAUUAAUCCAUAUUAUUAUAUUUAAAUAACGAUCAAUAACGAUUGUCUUUUGUCGCGGAUUUUCUCAAUGCCAUGAUGUGAAAAAUCUGAUUAUAUUUAAAUAAAUAAUUUAAUCACGAUCUUUGGCUUGCUCACGUUUAAAUCGUUCUCGACAAAUUAACCAAUUUUACAGUACAAAAUAAUGUUAUAAAUUAAGAACAAAUUUUUUUAAGACACUUGUAUAGAAUUUAUAUAAUAUCUCUAAUUUUUUCUUGUUGAAAUUGCUCAAAUAAAUGAAUUGAAUUAAUGUAA